GACGAACGCUGGCGGCGUGCUUAACACAUGCAAGUCGAACGGUAAGGCCCUUCGGGGUACACGAGUGGCGAACGGGUGAGUAACACGUGGGUGAUCUGCCCUGCACUUUGGGAUAAGCCUGGGAAACUGGGUCUAAUACCGAAUACACCCUGCUGGUCGCAUGGCCUGGUGGGGGAAAGCUUUUGCGGUGUUGGAUGGACUCGCGGCCUAUCAGCUUGUUGGUGAGGUAAUGGCUCACCAAGGCGACGACGGGUAGCCGGCCUGAGAGGGUGACCGGCCACACUGGGACUGAGACACGGCCCAGACUCCUACGGGAGGCAGCAGUGGGGAAUAUUGCACAAUGGGCGCAAGCCUGAUGCAGCGACGCCGCGUGAGGGAUGACGGCCUUCGGGUUGUAAACCUCUUUCAGUAGGGAAGAAGCCUUUUAGGUGACGGUACCUGCAGAAGAAGCGCCGGCUAACUACGUGCCAGCCGCCGCAGUAAGAC
rnacentral:rRNA from 1 species